UGUACACAUAUAUCGUAUAUCUAUCUGUAUACAUAUGAAUAAGUGUUAGUUUCGAUAUUAAAAGACCACGAGAAAAGCUCGGUUUCAUCAGAUCCGUUCGCGAAGAGACGCAGUAAACGUGAAUUUACUGAAGAACGAGCAUUGAAGAAACUCAACAAGUGUUAGAGAGAGAAAGAGAUAAAGAGAAAGAGAGAGAGAGAAAGAAAGAGACAAACAGACAGACAGAGCUAGAAUUAAAGCUAGAGCUAAAGUUAAAUUAAUGAAUUCGACCAAUGACAUCACUGUGAUAUUUCUACGAUGGAACGAUCAGCCAAUAAACGCUUUUUAUACAUUUUCGCGGUUCCUUUAAAAGUAUGUUAAGAUACCUGUUCUCGCGGAUUAUUCAGGGACGUGAUCUUUUUCUUUUUUGAGAAAAGAAUCUUGUGGCUGAUGAAGGAAAUGGUAAAUUUUUUGUGUUAGUUUCUUUGAAAUUAAUUAAGAUUUGAAAAUGAAAAAGAAUGAAAUGACGAUUGUCAUAUCAAUGAAAAGUUAUGUUCUUUCUUAUGCAUCGAUUGGAUUGUAAAUAUAUACAAGAGAACUAUCAUAAUUAACGUGUUGAAAUGAUUUAACCCAUUUGCAUCUUUAAGCGGAAUAAUCCGCAUACCACGAUUGCCAAUUAUUAUCAGUCGCCGAAUAUUCCACAGUCGACAAUAUUAUCCUGUCGCCAUAAAAUAUUUCAUGAUUGUCUUAUGAGCAGUAUAGAAGGAUUUCAAGACUUGGAUAUUUUGAAACUUAUAGAGUCCAGUGUGGAAAUAGAAAGAAAUCAAAAAAAAGGUGUAUAUCCUAUUCCACUUAAUAAUAGCAAUGAAAUAUAUAACAAUGAAUGCUUAGAAGCAAGAAGAUCGUAUACCAAAAAUACAUCAUUUUUCUGCCAUAAGUGGUGCAACCAUCAACACAGAAAGUAUAUCUAGAAGAGAAGUUUUUGAAAUAGUUUUCAAUGAUAAAUGAAUUGAAAAAAUUAUAUUGAAGAUAAGCAAAUAUAAAGCUACAAGUAGAAACUUUAUAAGAAUUCAGGAAGAUGAACUAAAAAUAAAAUAUUCCGAUGAAUAUAAUUUGAAAACCUACCAUACAAAGUUAUUGGAGUAUAGAUAAAACCGUAAAAAGUCCAUGUUUCAAGAAUAUUGUACCGUAUAAAACAUUUUUGGACAAUAAUUCUGAUUCUAACGAUCUCUUGAUAAAAAUUAGAGAAGUUCCUGAUAUAAUCGCUAAAAAUUUCAUACGCAUGUACAAGCCACAUAAAAUCAUCGAUGAGUAGAAGACAUUUGUAUUACAUAUAACUUAUUCAAAACAAAC